rnacentral:rRNA from 1 species
GUAGGUGGCAAGCGUUGUCCGGAAUUAUUGGGCGUAAAGCGCGCGCAGGCGGGGUUCGUUUAAGUCUGAUGUGAAAGCCCACGGGCUCAACCGUGGAGGGUCAUUGGAAACUGGAGAACUUGAGUACGGAAGAGGAAAGCGGAAUUCCACGUGUAGCGGUGAAAUGCGUAGAGAUGUGGAGGAACACCAGUGGCGAAGGCGGCUUUCUGGUCUGUAACUGACGCUGAGGCGCGAAAGCGUGGGGAGCAAACAGGAUUAGAUACCCUGGUAGUCCACGCCGUAAACGAUGAGUGCUAAGUGUUAGGGGGUUUCCGCCCCUUAGUGCUGCAGCUAACGCAUUAAGCACUCCGCCUGGGGAGUACGGCCGCAAGGCUG